GACGUAGGGCGCGAGCGUUGUCCGGAUUUAUUGGGCGUAAAGAGCUCGUAGGCGGCUUGUUGCGUCGGCUGUGAAAACCCAUGGCUCAACCGUGGGCUUGCAGCCGAUACGGGCAGGCUAGAGUUCGGUAGGGGAGACUGGAAUUCCUGGUGUAGCGGUGAAAUGCGCAGAUAUCAGGAGGAACACCGGUGGCGAAGGCGGGUCUCUGGGCCGAUACUGACGCUAAGGAGCGAAAGCGUGGGGAGCGAACAGG
rnacentral:rRNA from 1 species